AACUGCUGGUUCAUGGACUCU
rnacentral:miRNA from 1 species